UAGUGGCGAACGGGUGAGUAACACGUGGGCAAUCUGCCCUUCACUCUGGGACAAGCCCUGGAAACGGGGUCUAAUACCGGAUAACACUCUGUCCCGCAUGGGACGGGGUUGAAAGCUCCGGCGGUGAAGGAUGAGCCCGCGGCCUAUCAGCUUGUUGGUGGGGUGAUGGCCUACCAAGGCGACGACGGGUAGCCGGCCUGAGAGGGCGACCGGCCACACUGGGACUGAGACACGGCCCAGACUCCUACGGGAGGCAGCAGUGGGGAAUAUUGCACAAUGGGCGAAAGCCUGAUGCAGCGACGCCGCGUGAGGGAUGACGGCCUUCGGGUUGUAAACCUCUUUCAGCAGGGAAGAAGCGAAAGUGACGGUACCUGCAGAAGAAGCGCCGGCUAACUACGUGCCAGCAGCCGNGGUAAUACGUAGGGCGCAAGCGUUGUCCGGAAUUAUUGGGCGUAAAGAGCUCGUAGGA
rnacentral:rRNA from 1 species